rnacentral:rRNA from 1 species
AACGAACGCUGGCGGCAUGCCUAACACAUGCAAGUCGAACGAGACCUUCGGGUCUAGUGGCGCACGGGUGCGUAACGCGUGGGAACCUGCCCUUAGGUUCGGAAUAACUCCCCGAAAGGGGUGCUAAUACCGGAUAAUGUCUUCGGACCAAAGAUUUAUCGCCUUUGGAUGGGCCCGCGUUGGAUUAGCUAGUUGGUAGGGUAAAAGCCUACCAAGGCGACGAUCCAUAGCUGGUCUGAGAGGAUGAUCAGCCACACUGGGACUGAGACACGGCCCAGACUCCUACGGGAGGCAGCAGUGGGGAAUAUUGGACGAUGGGCGAAAGCCUGAUCCAGCAAUGCCGCGUGAGUGAUGAAGGCCUUAGGGUUGUAAAGCUCUUUGACCCGGGAUGAUAAUGACAGUACCGGGAGAAUAAGCUCCGGCUAACUCCGUG